rnacentral:rRNA from 1 species
UACGGAGGGGGUUAGCGUUGUUCGGAAUGACUGGGCGUAAAGCGCGCGCAGGCGGUGCGGUAAGUCCGUCGUGAAAUCUCCCGGCUCAACUGGGAGGGUGCGGUGGAGACUGCCGGACUGGAGGCACUCAGAGGCCGGUGGAAUUCCCGGUGUAGUGGUGAAAUGCGUAGGGAUCGGGAGGAACACCGAUGGCGAAGGCAGGUCUCUGGGCCACUACUGACGCUGAGAAGCGAAAGCAUGGGGAGCGAACAGG